GACGAACGCUGGCGGCGUGCCUAACACAUGCAAGUCGAACGGGACCGGGGGCAACUUCGGUUCAGUGGCGGACGGGUGCGUAACACGUGAGGAACAUGACCUUCGGCGGGGGAUAGCCGGCCCAACGGCCGGGUAAUACCGCGUACGACCAUUUGGGGACAUCCUCGAGUGGUGAAAGCAGCAAUGCGCCGAUGGAGUGCCUCGCGGCCUAUCAGCUAGUUGGUGGGGUAACGGCCUACCAAGGCGACGACGGGUAGCUGGUCUGAGAGGAUGGCCAGCCACAUUGGGACUGAGACACGGCCCAGACUCCUACGGGAGGCAGCAGUGGGGAAUAUUGCGCAAUGGACGAAAGUCUGACGCAGCGACGCCGCGUGUGGGAUGACGGUCUUCGGAUUGUAAACCACUGUCGGGAGGGACGAAUACGCCGCAAGGCGGGUGACGGUACCUCCAAAGGAAGCACCGGCUAACUCCGUGCCAGCCGCCGCCGUAAGAC
rnacentral:rRNA from 1 species